CACGUAGGAACCAAGCGUUGUCCGGAUUUAUUGGGCGUAAAGAGCUCGUAGGCGGUUCGGUAAGUCGGAUGUGAAAACUUUGGGCUCAACCCAAAGCGUGCAUUCGAUACUGCCAUGACUAGAGUUCGGUAGGGGAGUGGGGAAUUCCUAGUGUAGCGGUGAAAUGCGCAGAUAUUAGGAGGAACACCGGUGGCGAAGGCGCCACUCUGGGCCGAAACUGACGCUGAGGAGCGAAAGCGUGGGUAGCAAACAGG
rnacentral:rRNA from 1 species